rnacentral:rRNA from 1 species
AUGUCAUUUAUUUGGUGUGGUGGGGAAUCAGGACUGUUACUUUGAAAAAAUUAGAGUGUUUAAAGCAGGCUCGCGCUUGAAUACAUUAGCAUGGAAUAAUGAAAUAGGACGUUUGAUCCUAUUUUGUUGGUUUCUAGGAUCGACGUAAUGAUUAAUAGGGAUAGUUGGGGGCAUUAGUAUUCAAUUGUCAGAGGUGAAAUUCUUGGAUUUAUUGAAGACUAACUACUGCGAAAGCAUUUGCCAAGGAUGUUUUCAUUAAUCAAGAACGAAAGUUAGGGGAUCGAAGACGAUCAGAUACCGUCGUAGUCUUAACCAUAAACUAUGCCGACUAGGGAUCGGAUGAUGUUAAUUUUUUAAUGACUCAUUCGGCCCCUUACG